GUUUGUAACACCCAAAGCCGGUGGGGUACCUUUAGGAGCUGCCGUCUAAGGUGGGACAGAUGAUUAGGGUGAAGUCGUAACAAGGUAGCCGUAGGAGAACCUGCGGCUGGAUCACCUCCUUUCUAAGGAAUAAUACGGAACCGCACACGAGUCAAAGUUUUGUUUAGUUUUGAGAGGUCUACUCUCACUUUUGUUCUUUGAAAACUGAAUAAUAUCUAUAAUUUUCUAAUUUUAAUUAAUCAUAAUUAAACCGAGAGAAAACCAGCGUAAUUUUAAAGAGUUAAACAAGAUUAGUUCAAAAUAAUCGCAAUACUCAAUUAAUCGCUUUACCGUAGGUAAAGUUAGGUUAAGUUAGGAAGGGCGCAUGGUGGAUGCCUUGGUACUAGGAGCCGAUGAAGGACGGGACUAACACCGAUAUGCCUCGGGGAGCUGUAAGUAAGCUUUGAUCCGGGGAUUUCCGAAUGGGGCAACCCAAACUUUAACGACUAUAUCCGCAUCUGAAUUCAUAGGAUGUGUGAAGGUAA
rnacentral:misc_RNA from 1 species